rfam:Homo sapiens chromosome 12, GRCh38 reference primary assembly.
GCCGGGUGUGGUGGCUCACACCUGUAAUCCCAGCCCUUGGGAGGCCGAGGCAGGUGGUUCACCUGAGGUCAGGAGUUUUGAGACCAGCCUGGUCAACAUGAUGAAAUCCCAUCUCUA